rnacentral:rRNA from 1 species
AACGAACGCUGGCGGCGUGGAUAAGACAUGCAAGUCGAACGGGACUAAAUCUGUAGCAAUACAGGUUUAGUUUAGUGGCGAACGGGUGCGUAACACGUGGGCAAUCUGCCGAGAAGUGGGGGAUAGCUCGCCGAAAGGCGAAUUAAUACCGCAUAUGAUCAGUGAAGACAUCUUCACGACAUCAAAGCCGGGGCAACCUGGCGCUUCUUGAUGAGCCCGCGGCCUAUCAGCUAGUUGGUGAGGUAACGGCUCACCAAGGCUAUGACGGUAGCUGGUCUGAGAGGACGACAGUCACACUGGAACUGAGACACGGUCCAGACACCUA